rnacentral:rRNA from 1 species
AGGACGAACGCUGGCGGCGUGCUUCAUACAUGCAAGUCGAACGAUAAGGUCUCUUCGGAGAUACAUAAGUGGCGGACGGGUGAGUAAAAUGUAGAGAAUCUGCCCUAGAGAGUGGGACAACAGAGGGAAACUUCUGCUAAUACCGCAUAUGAGCGUAGCUGAGAUGCUAUUCUUGAAAACUCCGGUGCUCUAGGAUGAGUCUGCAUCUGAUUAGCUAGUUGGGGGUGUAAUGGACCACCAAGGCGACGAUCAGUAGCUGGUUUGAGAGGAUGAUCAGCCACAAUGGGACUGAGACACGGCCCAUACUCCUACGGGAGGCAGCAGUAGGGAAUUUUGCGCAAUGGGGGGAACCCUGACGCCAGCAACGCCGCGUGACCGAUGAAGCCCUUCGGGGUGUAAAGGUCUGUCAGUGGGGACGAAGAAUGACGGUACCCACAGAGGAAGCAUCGGCUAACUCCGUGCCAGCCGCCGC